UGUAAGAAAAAUAAUUUAAAAUAAAAAUAUUUAGUAUUAAUAAAGAAACUUAUAAAAGAUAAUAGUUAAUAGUAUUGUAAAAGAAUGUUAAUAUAUUGGUAAAGUAAUCAAAUAAUAGAAGUUAAAAUGUGCCUUGUGUAUCAUAAAAUAAUAAAUUAAUUUUUAUAAAAAAUAAUCCCGAAAAAAAGGUAGUUAGUUUGUUAAUAAAGUUUUUGUUUUAACAAAAUUAAUAAUAGCAACCUAGAGAUGAAAUAUCAGUCGAACUUUUAUAUCUGGUUUUAAAUAAAAUGAAUUUAAUUCAAGCUUUAUUUUAUAAAAAUAGAGUUAAAGAGUAGGGGGGUGAGCUUUUUACUCAAUUAUAAAAGAAAUAUAAAUUUAAAUAAAUAAUUCUUGAAAUUUAGGCUUAUAAGUAGCCAUUUUUUAAAAGUGUUUUAACUAAUAUUUGAAUUAAUUUAAUAUUUAAUAAAAUUUUAUUGUAGUAAUUUAAAACUAUUAGAAAUAAUAAUUAAAAGGUUAUUAUGUUCUUAUUAGUAUAAAUUUAUUUUAUUUAAAAAAUUUAUUUUAAUUUUAUAAAAUAUUAUAAUUUAAUUUGAUAUUUAAAAAGAACUCGGCAAAAAGAUUCUUGCCUGUUUAACAAAAACAUGUCUAUAUGAAGGUGUAUAUAGUUUGGCCUGCUCACUGAUUAAAUUAAAGAGCCGCAGUAUUUUGACUGUGCGAAGGUAGCAUAAUAAAUUGUCUUUUAAAUAAAGGCUUGAAUGAAAGGUUGGACAAAGUAUCAUCUGUUUCUUAAAUAUUUAUUGAAUUUGACUUUUAAGUGAAAAGGCUUAAAUAAAUCAAAAAGACGAUAAGACCCUAUAAAUCUUUACAAUAAAUAUAUUUUAUAUUUUAUAUUAUAAGUGUAUAAUAAAUAAAAAUAUAAAUUUGUUGCGCUGGGGCGGCGUAGAUAUAUAAAUAAACUGUCUAUAAUUUAAAUACAAUAAUCAUUGUUUAGUAAAAUUGAUCCUUAAAUAGAUUAAAAGAUUAAGAUACUUUAGGGAUAACAGCGUUAUUUUUUUUGAGAGUUCCUAUCGAAGAAAAAGUUUGCGACCUCGAUGUUGAAUUAAAGUAUCUUUAUGGUGUAGCCGCUAUAAGAGAGAGUCUGUUCGACUUUUAAUACUUUACAUGAUUUGAGUUCAGACCGGCGUGAGCCAGGUUGGUUUCUAUCUUUUGUUAUAUGUAAAAUUAUUUUAGUACGAAAGGAUUAAAUAAUUAAAAUAUUUUUAUAUUUUAGAAUAUUAAUACCCUUUCAAAAAAUUAA
rnacentral:rRNA from 1 species